rnacentral:lncRNA from 1 species
CUGAGCAUCACCUGGAGGUUCUCCCUGUUCAAGUAUAAGGCUUAUGCUCUGACAGAGGGAACUUUAUCCACUUAUGACCCCCAAGUUAAUUUAAGAUGCAGGGUUAAGCAAUGCAUGACUGCAGUCACUUAUGUAACCAGCCCGGCUGCCGUGCUAUGGAGAUAAAGAGCAGAUUGGGCAACCAGCUAUCCUGCCUGCCAGUAAGCUGUAGUUGAUUAUACU